rnacentral:rRNA from 1 species
UAAGGAAUAUUGGUCAAUGGAGGCAACUCUGAACCAGCCAUGCCGCGUGCAGGAAGAAGGUCCUCUGGAUUGUAAACUGCUUUUAUCAGGGACUAAGGAAUCGCUAUACGCGUUGGUGCAGGUACCUGAGGAAUAAGCCACGGCUAACUACGUGCCAGCAGCCGCGGUAAUACGUAGGUGGCGAGCGUUGUCCGGAUUUAUUGGGUUUAAAGGGUGCGUAGGCGGUUUAAUAAGUCAGUCGUUAAAGGUAUCAGCUUAACUGGUAUAAGGCGAAUGAUACUGUUAGACUUGAAUAAUUUGGAGGUAUAGGGAAUGCGUGGUGUAGCGGUGAAAUGCAUAGAUAUCACGCGGAACGCCGAUUGCGGAGGCACUGUACUACGAAUUGAUUGACGCUGAGGCA